GACGAACCGUGCGAACGUUGUUCGGAAUCACUGGGCUUAAAGGGCGCGUAGGCGGGUCAGCCAGUCCGGGGUGAAAUCCUUCGGCUUAACCGGAGAACUGCCUCGGAGACGACUGAUCUGGAGGGAGGUAGGGGCGGCCGGAACUUCCGGUGGAGCGGUGAAAUGCGUUGAUAUCGGAAGGAACGCCGGUGGCGAAAGCGGGCCGCUGGACCUCUACUGACGCUGAGGCGCGAAAGCCAGGGGAGCAAACGGG
rnacentral:rRNA from 1 species